GGAGAGGUGUCCGAGUGGUCUAAGGAGCGCGACUGGAAAUCGCGUAUGUGCCGAAAGGUGCAUCGCGGGUUCAAAUCCCGCCCUCUCCG
rnacentral:tRNA from 1 species